GGACUACUAGGGUUUCUAAUCCUUUUUGCUCCCCACGCUUUCGCGUCUCAGUGUCAGGAAGGUCCCAGUGCACUGCCUUCGCCUUUGGUAUUCCGCACGAUAUCAACGGAUUUCACCCCUACACCGUGCGUUCUAUGCACCUCUAACCCCCUCGAGCUCCGCCGUAUCUUCUGCACUUCCAGGGUUAGGCCCUGGUCUUUAACAGAAGACGCGCGAAGCCACCUACACGCGCUUUACGCCCAAUAAAUCCGGAUAACGCUUGAUGUCUACGUUUUACCGCGGCUGCUGGCAC
rnacentral:rRNA from 1 species